rnacentral:rRNA from 1 species
GUGGCUCACCAAGGCGACGACGGGUAGCCGGCCUGAGAGGGCGACCGGCCACACUGGGACUGAGACACGGCCCAGACUCCUACGGGAGGCAGCAGUGGGGAAUAUUGCACAAUGGGCGAAAGCCUGAUGCAGCGACGCCGCGUGAGGGAUGACGGCCUUCGGGUUGUAAACCUCUUUCAGCAGGGAAGAAGCGAGAGUGACGGUACCUGCAGAAGAAGCGCCGGCUAACUACGUGCCAGCAGCCGCGGUAAUACGUAGGGCGCAAGCGUUGUCCGGAAUUAUUGGGCGUAAAGAGCUCGUAGGCGGCUUGUCACGUCGGUUGUGAAAGCCCGGGGCUUAACCCCGGGUCUGCAGUCGAUACGGGCAGGCUAGAGUUCGGUAGGGGAGAUCGGAAUUCCUGGUGUAGCGGUGAAAUGCGCAGAUAUCAGGAGGAACACCGGUGGCGAAGGCGGAUCUCUGGGCCGAUACUGACGCUGAGGAGCGAAAGCGUGGGGAGCGAACAGGAUUAGAUACCCUGGUAGUCCACGCCGUAAACGGUGGGCACUAGGUGUGGG